rnacentral:piRNA from 1 species
UGAGUUGGGUACAUACGCUCCCAGAAGCUCC